GGUUACAAAGGAGAAUCGGAUUACACCGUGAGAUGGGGAUGCUUCAAGGUUGGAGAUGGAUGAUGGAUGCUCACGGCUAUGCUUCUUCUCCCUUGGCCUUGCUUGAACUCGUGGAGAUGACUAGAGGAUGGAGAAACUCACGGCUAUGCUAAGAAGAUUUUCUGAUUUUUUUCUAAAGUGUAAAUUGUAUGGGGGAGAGGACCCUUUCACGUUGAGAAAAGGGGAGAAUAUAUAGGAGCAUGGCUAGGGUUCACAAAGCAAUCAGAAUUUUCCACAUAGCUUCAACCAAUGAUAAUUCGCCAAGUAAGCUUGUGAUGUGGUCCAACCAAUCAUAGAAUGCCAAGUAAGCCUUGUGAUGUGUUCCAACCAAUCAUAAUUCUCUAAAAUACCUCCCUAAUAUUUAAUUGCCGAAUUUCCUUGAAAUUAUUCUGAUUUUCUUCAUGAAUUUCGGCCAACAUUCCUUUAGGGAAUUUAGGGAUGAAUCUAGACGCCUUUUUAGCUUUUCCUUGGUGCACACAUAUUUUCCUUCCAUAAAUAUCUCCCUUGAAUCUCUCUUGGCGUCAUCUCCUUGAUUAUUUCUGAUUUUCACGUUGGCAAUCACACCAAAUUAUUCCUCCAACAAUAUUUCUUUCCAUAAAAGUCUCCCAAGAAAAUCUCUCCUUGAAAUCCUCAAUCAAUCAUCUUCAAUUCCCACGUUGUCACCUUGUUUUUCCUUAAGUAUUACACGGCAAAUUUAAUCCCCAAGGAAAAUAUAUUUUCCUUUUUUAAAAAAAACUCUUCCUUGAUUCUCUCCUUGCCAUGUCAUCUUCAUGAAACUUCUCGUUCCAUUUAUGAACUCAAUUCUGCUUAUUUAUUCCAAAAACCUGAAAAUAGAAGCUUUCUAAAAUAAGAAAUGGA
rnacentral:lncRNA from 1 species